rnacentral:pre_miRNA from 1 species
AAGGCUGCUGAGGUAGUUUACAAAGCUGCGAGUGCACUUUAUUCCAUCGCAGAUUUUAAACUAACUCGCCAGCCUA